AUGUAGGGCAGUCUGUCUUUAACUAGGGAUAAACUACUCUAAAAAAAAAAAAAGAAUCCUAUAUAGUUUUCCCUUUAAGUGUCUUGC
rnacentral:pre_miRNA from 1 species